AUUGAACGCUGGCGGCAGGCCUAACACAUGCCAGUCGAGCGGAGCGGCGGACGGGUGAGUAAUGCCUAGGAAUCUGACUGGUAGUGGGGGAUAAGGCCCGGAAAGGGGCGCUAAUACCGCAUACUAUAAGAUGGGCCUAGGUCGGAUUAGCUGUUUGGUGGGGUACAGGACUCCCAAGGCGACGAUCCGUACCUGGUCUGAGAGGAUGAUCAGUCACACUGGAACUGCGACACGGUCCAGACUCCUACGGGAGGCAGCAGUGGGGAAUAUUGGACAAUGGGCGCAAGCCUGAUCCAGCCAUGCCGCGUGUGUGAAGAAGGUCUUCGGAUUGUAAAGCACUUUAAGUUGGGAGGCGUUACCAACAGAAUAAGCACCGGCUAACUUCGUGCCAGCAGCCGCGGUAAUUC
rnacentral:rRNA from 1 species